GGUCAAGCUACAAAGGUCGCAUGGUGAAUGCCUUGGCAUCAGGAGCCGAUGAAGGACGUGAUAAGCUGCGAUACGCUUCGGGUAGGCGCACACAGCCUGAGAUCCGAAGAUCUCCGAAUGAGGAAACUCACAUGGGAAACCCCAUGCACCAUUAAGUGAAUACAUAGCUUAAUGAAGGUAACCCAGGGAACUGAAACAUCUAAGUACCUGGAGGAAGAGAAAGAAAAAUCGAUUUUCUUAGUAGCGGCGAGCGAAAGGGAAAGAGCCCAAACCGGAAACUUGUUUCCGGGGUUGUGGACAUAGCAUUAAAGUGGAGGCUAUUGUAACUGAAGAGAACUGGAAAGUUCCACCGUAGAAGGUAAUAGUCCUGUAAGUGAAACGAGAAGACCACGAGUUAUGAUCCAGAGUACCACGAGACACGUGAAACCUUGUGGGAAGCAGGG
rnacentral:rRNA from 1 species